rnacentral:miRNA from 1 species
AAUACCGGACUUGUAUCUUACAA